rnacentral:rRNA from 1 species
GAUGAACGCUAGCGGCAGGCCUAACACAUGCAAGUCGAGGGGUAGAAGUUACUUGUAACUUUGAGACCGGCGCACGGGUGCGUAACGCGUAUGCAAUCUACCUUUUACAGAGGGAUAGCCCAGAGAAAUUUGGAUUAAUACCUCAUAGUAUCUUUGCCUGGCAUCAGGUGAUUAUUAAAGUUCCAACGGUAAAAGAUGAGCAUGCGUCCUAUUAGCUAGAUGGUAAGGUAACGGCUUACCAUGGCAACGAUAGGUAGGGGUCCUGAGAGGGAGAUCCCCCACACUGGUACUGAGACACGGACCAGACUCCUACGGGAGGCAGCAGUGAGGAAUAUUGGACAAUGGGCGCAAGCCUGAUCCAGCCAUGCCGCGUGCAGGAAGAAGCAUCUAUGGUGUGUAAACUGCUUUUGUACGGGAAGAAACACUCCUACGUGUAGGAGCUUGACGGUACCGUAAGAAUAAGGAUCGGCUAACUCCGUGCCAGCCGCCGCGGUAAAAC